rnacentral:rRNA from 1 species
UACGGAGGGGGCUAGCGUUGUUCGGAAUUACUGGGCGUAAAGCGCACGUAGGCGGCUUUGUAAGUUAGAGGUGAAAGCCCAGGGCUUAACCCUGGAAUUGCCUUUAAGACUGCAUCGCUAGAAUUGUGGAGAGGUAAGUGGAAUUCCGAGUGUAGAGGUGAAAUUCGUAGAUAUUCGGAAGAACACCAGUGGCGAAGGCGGCUCACUGGCCCGAUACUGACGCUGAGGUGCGAAAGCGUGGGGAGCAAACAGG